rnacentral:rRNA from 1 species
CACCUGUUAUCAAAAACAUGUCUUUUGAGUUUAAUAUAAAGUCUAACCUGCCCAUUGAAAUUUUAAAAGGCCGCAGUAUUUUGACUGUGCAAAGGUAGCAUAAUCAUUAGUUUUUUAAUUGAAAGCUUGUAUGAAUGGUUGAAUGAGAUAUUAACUGUUUCAUAAAAAUUUUUAUAGAAUUUAAUUUUUUAGUUAAAAAGCUAAAAUAUUUUUAGAGGACGAGAAGACCCUAUAAAGUUUAAUAAUUUAAUAAAAAUAAUUUUUUUAGAAUAAUUUAUAUUUUUUUUAUUAAAUUAUUUUAUUGGGGUGAUAAUAAAAUUUAAAAAACUUUUAUUUUUAAUUUACAUUGAUUUAUGAAUUUAUGAUCCAAUUUUAUUGAUUAAAAAAUUAAAUUACUUUAGGGAUAACAGCAUAAUUUUUUUUUAAAGUUCAUAUUAAUGAAAAAGAUUGUGACCUCGAUGUUGGAUUAAAAUUAUUUUUAGGUGUAGAAGGCUUAAAUUAAU